ensembl:lncRNA
ACUCCGCGCAAGGCCUGUCGGUCCCGCUGCUCAGCCCCCGUGUAGGAGCCACGCGCCGGCCUCUGGUGGAGGGCCCAGUUCCCCAGCUACCGGCCCUUUUCGGAAAUCGGGGGGAAGUUGCAGCACCCAGUAACCGCCUGUAUUGCGGAGGAAAGACAGAAGGUUGUGCCCGAGCACAGGAGAAACUGCAGCCGCCCGCAGCCGUCGGGCCCUGCCUGCGGGACUCCCUGAGCUCGCGGGCCGCUGGGGACUGUAGUCUUUGUGACGCGUCCCCCAGCACUCUCCACGCCUCCACUCCGUAAGCUCAGCUCUACGUGGGGACAGGUCCAAGGUUUGCAUGACGCCCAAAUGGGAGGAGGGGGGACACCUCUCAGUCCUUAGUUUGCACGGGCCGCGCGUGGGUGAGUAAAACAACCCUGGAACACGGAAGAGUCCAACCCACCGGGACGCCAGCCCUGCGAGAAAGCAUCUUUUACGUGCUCACGGGCGAGGCAGACCUCAGUUCACUACAGCCCCGCGGGCCCAACCAGAACCCAGGCGUUUGGGUGAGGCAGCUUGAAAGGUUAGGUUGCAUACCUCUUGUAGAGUGUCCUGCGGCUUUCGCGUUACUAAGGCAUCACAUUUCUAAAUUUUAAUUUCCGUAUUCUCCGCUGCUUUGACAGAUGCAGGAAGACAGUAUCGUAAUAAUAAGUAAAAUUUACUUAGGCGGCGCGCUAAGCACUUUCAUUUAACCUUCACACAUUCACCUCCGGAUAGAGGUACUCUGGUUUUUCCUAUUUUACAGCUAGAUUACUGACAUUACUGAGCGGGAGAGGAACUUGCUCAGAAUCAUACUGCUAGCGAACCCUGGGUUGGAAGCCAUUCUAACCCCAGAGCCGGUUCUCAUGCUGUAUGUCUUUUCUCUUUCUUAGUAUCUUACCCUCCAAAGUGCGGAGACAGGUUCAGAAAUGAUUUUCUAAAAACAUAAAAACCAUGGUGUAUGGACAGUUUAAUGACUAUUUUCCCAUGUUAUUAUUCCGAAUACAUGGAUCAUCUUUAUGCAUUAUUUUCCUUCAGAAUGUACCAUCCUUUAUUAUUGCCAUUUAAUUUCAUUGAUAUUAUGAUUAUUCCCACCCUUGAUCACAAAUUAUACACAUUUCUAAUAACUUCUUUAGGAUCAACAUCAGUACAAUUGCUGGAUCAAAGAGUAAGAACAUGAUACAUACUGUCAAAUUUCUUCCUAGAAUGGUUAGCCAGUUCCACAAUGGUAUAAAAGUAUCAAUUUCACUGAUCCUCAUCGUUAGGUAUUGUUUAAACUAACAUCGCAAAUAUAUUGUAGGAUUACUCUGUAACAACAUCAUUGGAAAGCUUAGGGCUUUUUUUUUUUUUUUUGAGGUACAUAAACGUUUGUUUCACUUUUUCAACUUUUUUUUUUUUUUAGUGCCUUUGAACUACGUAUAACCCCUCGUUUAUAUGAACAUUCUAGGGCUAAACUGAAGUAUAAAUAAAAGGUGUAUGUUGAAUUAAUCUACAUGCAUCAAGUGCCUACUGUGGACUUGAGUACUUUAUAAUUGGGUAAGUUACUUUAUUAAACUUGUUGGGAAGGUACAUUGCCAAUCUUUUUCUGUUUAAAAAUUUUGCUUCUUGGGCUUCCCUGGUGGCGCAGUGGUUGAGAGUCCGCAUGCCGAUGCAGGGGACACGGGUUCGUGCCCCAGUCGGGGAAGAUCCCACAUGCCGCGGAGCGGCUGGUCCCGUGAGCCAUGGCCGCUGAGCCUGCGCGUCCGGAGCCUGUGCUCCACAAUGGGAGAGGCCACAACAGUGAGAGGCCCGCGUACUGC